GGAGGAAGCAGGGGAUCGCAAGACCUUGCGCUUUUGGAGCGGCCGAUGCCUGAUUAGCUUGUUGGUGAGGUAAAAGCUCACCAAGGCUUCGAUCAGUAGCUGGUCUGAGAGGACGACCAGCCACACUGGGACUGAGACACGGCCCAGACUCCUACGGGAGGCAGCAGUGGGGAAUUUUGGACAAUGGGGGCAACCCUGAUCCAGCCAUGCCGCGUGAGUGAAGAAGGCCUUCGGGUUGUAAAGCUCUUUCAGCCGGAACGAAACGGUCACGGUUAAUACCCGUGACUACUGACGGUACCGGAAGAAGAAGCACCGGCUAACUACGUGCCAGCAGCCGCGGUAAUACGUAGGGUGCGAGCGUUAAUCGGAAUUACUGGGCGUAAAGCGUGCGCAGGUGGUUUUGUAAGUCAGAUGUGAAAUCCCCGGGCUUAACCUGGGAACUGCGUUUGAAACUACAAAGCUAG
rnacentral:rRNA from 1 species